rnacentral:rRNA from 1 species
UAGAAUAAGGUGGGAAUCCUUAUGGCCGAAUAUCCAAGGUUUCCAGAGUAAAGCUGAUCUGCUCUGGGUAAGUCGGGGCCUAAGGCGAGGACGAGAGUCGUAGCCGAUGGACAACAGGUGGAGAUUCCUGUACUGCGGUUGACAGAACUGUGGGGACACGUAAGGAAAGCGGAAGCCGGGAAUGGAAAGCCCGGUGCAAGCGGGGUACCAGCCACUUUGGCAAAUCCGGGUGGCAAUGGGAAGCCGUGAUGCGGAGCGAAAUAAAGUAGCGAAGUCCGUGAGCCAUGCGUCAAGAAAAGCCGCUAUUGUUUAUACCGUACCCGUACCGUAAACCGACACAGGUGGAUGAGGAGAGAAUCCUAAGGCCGGCGGAAGAAGCAUUGUCAAGGAACUCGGCAAAAUGGCCCCGUAACUUAGGGAUAGGGGGUGCCUGGGAAGCCAGGCCGCAGAGAAUAGGCUCAAGCAACUGUUUAGCAAAAACACAGGUCUAUGCGAAACCGAAAGGUGAGGUAUAUGGGCUGACGCCUGCCCGGUGCUGGAAGGUUAAGAGGAGAGGUUAGCGGUAACGCGAAGCUUUGAAUUUAAGCCCCAGUAAACGGCGGCCGUAACUAUAACGGUCCUAAGGUAGCGAAAUUCCUUGUCGGGUAAGUUCCGACCCGCACGAAAGGCGUAAUGAUUUGAGCGCUGUCUCGACGAUGCAUCCGGUGAAAUUGAAGUACCAGUGAAGAUGCUGGUUACCUGCUCCAGGACGGAAAGACCCCAUGGAGCUUUACUCCAGUCUGGUACUGGGACUCGGUAUUGCAUGUACAGGAUAGGUGGGAGGCUAGGAGAUGGUAACGCCAGUUGCCAUGGAGCCGCUGUUGGGAUACCACCCUUGCAGUAUUGGGUUUCUAACCAGCCGCCGUGACCCGGCGGUGGGACAAUGCCAGACGGGGAGUUUGACUGGGGCGGUCGCCUCCGAAAGGGUAUCGGAGGCGCCCAAAGGUUCCCUCAGAAUGGACGGAAACCAUUCGAAGAGUGCAAAGGCAGAAGGGAGCUUGACUGCGACACCGACGGGUGGAGCAGGUACGAAAGUAGGGCUUAGUGAUCCGGUGGUAUUAAGUGGGAAUGCCAUCGCUCAACGGAUAAAAGCUACCCUGGGAUAACAGGCUUAUCACUCCCAAGAGUUCACAUCGACGGAGUGGUUUGGCACCUCGAUGUCGGCUCAUCGCAUCCUGGGGCUGUAGUAGGUCCCAAGGGUUGGGCUGUUCGCCCAUUAAAGCGGUACGCGAGCUGGGUUCAGAACGUCGUGAGACAGUUCGGUCCCUAUCCGGCGUGGGCGUAGGAUAUCUGAGAGGAGCUGUCCUUAGUACGAGAGGACCGGGAUGGACGGGCCGCUGGUGCAUCGGUUAGACUGCCAAGUCUACGGCCGAGUAGCCAAGCCCGGAAGGGAUAAACGCUGAAGGCAUCUAAGCGUGAAGCCCCCCUUAAGAUGAGAUAUCCCAUUCGAAAGAAGUAAACCCCCUUGAAGACGACGAGGUAGAUAGGGCAGAGGUGGAAGUGCAGCAAUGCAUGGAGCUGACUGUUACUAAUCGGGUGAGGGCUUGACCC